UGCCAGCCGCCGCGGUAAUACGGAGGGUGCAAGCGUUAAUCGGAAUUACUGGGCGUAAAGGGCGCGUAGGUUGUUUAGCAAGUUGGCUGUGAAAGCCCCGGGCUUAACCUGGGAGGGUCAGUCAAAACUGCUAGACUAGAGUGUGGUAGAGGGUAGUGGAAUUUCAGGUGUAGCGGUGAAAUGCGUAGAGAUCUGAAGGAACACCAGUGGCGAAGGCGGCUACCUGGACUAACACUGACACUGAGGCGCGAAAGCAUGGGUAGCGAACAGGAUUAGAUA
rnacentral:rRNA from 1 species